GCUGGCGGCACGCCUAACACAUGCAAGUCGAACGAAGUAGCAAUACUUAGUGGCGAACGGGUGAGUAUAAUGUGGGUAUCUGCCCUUUGGUUUGGAAUAACACGAGGAAACUUGUGCUAAUACCGGAUAAGCCUUCACAGGGAAAGCUUUAGCGCCAAAGGAUGAGCCCGCACUUGAUUAGCUAGUUGGUAAGGUAAUAGCUUACCAAGGCUACGAUCAAUAGCUGAUCUGAGAGGAUGAUCAGCCACAUUGGGACUGAGACACGGCCCAAACUUCUACGGAAGGCAGCAGUGGGGAGUCUUGCACAAUGGGGGAAACCCUGAUGCAGCGAUGCCGCGUGAGUGAAGAAGGCCUUUGGGUUGUAAAGCUCUUUCGUCGGGGAAGAAAAUGACUGUACCCGAAUAAGAAGGUCCGGCUAACUUCGUGCCAGCAGCCGCGGUAAUACGAAGGGACCUAGCGUAGUUCGGAAUUACUGGGCUUAAAGAGCACGUAGGUGGUUAAGAAAGUUGGUGGUGAAAUCCCAAGGCUUAACCUUGGAACUGCCACCAAAACUUUUUAACUAGAGUAUGAUUGAGGUAAGCGGAAUUUCUAGUGUAGAGGUGAAAUUCGUAGAUAUUAGAAAGAACACCAAUUGCGAAGGCAGCUUUCUGGAUCAUUACUGACACUGAGGUGCGAAAGCAUGGGUAGCGAAGAGGAUUAGAUACCCUCGUAGUCCAUGCCGUAAACGAUGUGUGCUAGACGUUGGGAAUUUAUUUUUCAGUGUCGCAGCAAAAGCGUUAAGCACACCGCCUGGGGAGUACGACCGCAAGUAACUAAUGAUGCG
rnacentral:rRNA from 1 species